GUACAAACAUCGGCAGCACAUUUGGUAAAAUUGGUAAAAAGAUACAGAGAACAUUAGCCAGGCACCUUCACAAGGAUGACACACAAAUUUGUAAAGUGUUCCAUAUUUUU
ensembl:snRNA U6 U6 spliceosomal RNA